CUAGAGCCUAUGAAGGGUUCAGCCUUUAAAUUAUCCAGAGGGCAGCUUUUCACAUUUUCUGAACAAAGCAGGGACAAAAACAAACAAAGUGUUUCAAGAAAAUUUAGUUUAAUUUUGACGCAGGUGAGGGCACAGAAUCCAGAAGGCAAAGAGACCAUUAAAGAGACGUCUUCAAUGUCCAGGCUGGAAGGACAAGCUCGGUGGACUGGGGCUUGAAUACAGCAAUGAUGAUGAUGGUAAAACUACCUCUAAUUUCUCUCCCCCCUACUUAUCCUCAACUAAAAACUAGCAUUUUUCACUCCCAAGACUAGAUAAAACACAAAAAUUGAGAAAAUGUUUAAUAAUGUAAUUCUUUUUUAAAAAAAAUAAAGUCGGUCAAAGCUCUUCCAACCACAAGAGGGCGUUCCUGGACCCAGCAGUGGAGCCGGGAUUGCCCCGGGCAUGGACGGAACUUGCACCAGGGCUGCCCACAGGUCACUUGUGCAAGUGGUUACCUGGGUAGUUACAGAAAGGAAACAGUGUCUGGCAUUCACCUGCGCUUUGUGACAUCAUAGAAUCUUAAAAUCAAGGAGAGCAGCCUUGAGCUCUUAUCAAACCUAAGAACAUGUAGACUUAUGAGAAGCAAUUCAGGAUUGGGACUUUUUUUGAGUGACUGCCAGGUGUAGGCAAAGCCAGAAAGCCCUGGCAACCCAAAACUGAAGGAUCUGGGGCUUUCUUCCUGCAAGCUCUGCUCAGCGAGGGGCUUGUGCUCCUACAAGCUCUUUGCUACAUAAGUCAAGCCAAACUUCCAUUUCCCGACAUGACAUGGCCAAAUAAGAGAAGGCCAGGUUACCAGAGAUUAAAAAUAGGACGUUGCUGCAGAGUCCUGGGACCGGCUGGCAAAUGACACAGGAACUUUGGGAGCGCAUGGACUCAGGCCAAGCGGCCGUCCUCACCCUCGGCCACCUCAGGGCAGGGACGAAGAGUAAGCCCAGCCUUUGAUGGUGGGGAUUAGUCCCAAAAUUCUGGAGUUCACCACUCCUCCCGCUACACUGGCUUUAUUUCAAAUCUCUGUUGGUCCAUGUCAACAUCAGCGAUGGGAGUUGAAAGAAGUAAAACAGUGACUCGUGCAUUUUUCAUUCUUCUCUUUGCUUCUUUCUUUUAUAAAAGGUCAGGAGGAUGAUGAAAAGGAGACCUUUAGGAAGCAACUGCGACGUUCCAUCUCAUAUCCACUAAAGGAGGUGCAUUUCCGAUUCAGACAAAUUUAGUAACCAUUUCCUCCAAGUCUGACUGCUCUUUACAAUUAGGCUCCUGGAAAAAUACAUGUUGGUGUGUUUACAACAUGGGAAAAAUAUGUCAUCUCAGCAUUCAGUGAUAAAGCAGGUAUAGGUCCCAACAGAAGCGAGGGUCAGGACAGGCAACGGGAAACAUGUGCUCGCUGCUGGGUCCCAGGACUGAGUGACUCAGGAAAGCUGCUCAGACUUAUCAGCUCUGAUCCCUGGGACUUCAGGCUUCAAGAGAUGUGGUUUGACGGGUGAGCUGAAUAUUCAACAUGUCAUCACAAGCACCAAAUUCAGUGUCACCACUACUAUUGGAAGCAUUGACUCCCCAGCUCCUCACCAUUACAUUUUACUUUUCUAAAACAUUGGCAACUGACAAGCUUUGGAAACCAUCAUUGUGUGUUUUUCUCCACCCCACCAUUUAUAGCCAGUGUCCCCACUUUUAGGUCUGAGACCACUGCCCAGUGGGCCUUUCCCCAAGGUGGGGGAUCUAAGGACCCUUGGAUUAAUCCCAGGCUUUGUCUCCCACAAAAGCUUCCAAGACCAGUGCCAACAUUCUUGGUGGACACCUGUUCUCUAAGAGCUGGGCUUGAGCCCAAAAUGCAUCCACACAGGCCACUUAAAAGCCAUCCCAAGUUAACUUGGGUCAGAAUUUAAUCAGCCGUCUACAAAUAAAGUCCAUCCCAUGACUCCACUCUGCAGGCAUUCAGUUCUCUACAGCCUCUUAUUUCCAGCCAUUGCAUCAGCCACAAACACACGGUGAGUUGGUGCUUGGCGAAUCAGGUCCCAGCAAGACCACACCACCUUUUUCUAAAUCUCCAAAGCCAAAUUAGUUUGACUUUGGCGAGAUCUUGAAGCACAAACAUGUUGAAGCAAGAGUUCACGGAAGUGUACGUUUUUGGGUGCUGUCUUCAUUCUAAUAAUAAUAGCUAACAUUUAUUGAAUGUCAGGUAAUGGCAGUUCCAGGUAAUAUCUCAGUUAACCCUCCCAGGAGAUCUCAGGCAGGUACAUUUUUCAGAUGAAGACACUGAGGAGCACAUGUUUAAUAACUUGCUGAGAACCACAUGAGAAGUCAACAGCAGGGCCAGCCCCUGAGCGCAGGUAGACUAGAUCAACAGCUCACGCUCUUAGCCACCCCACUGUGCUCCUUCCCAGGUGCGAGUCCACUUAACCUAACAAACAACCCGUAAGUGCUGUUUUAGAAAU
rnacentral:lncRNA from 1 species